AGAAAUAUGAAAAAAACCCUCUGGUUUCUUGCUGAAUUUUAUUUUGCUUGGUACGACAUAUGAAUGCUGACUUAUUAUUGCUGGGUGCUUAAGAAGUCAAGCUGACAGAUUUGUUAUCAUCAUAGAAAAACAAUAACACAAAUGUAUUCUCUUAGGGGAAAGUUUUCUCCAUCCCAAUUACACUGACUGAUUUUUGCAAUACCUUAUGCAGGUAUUAGAAAAAGAGGCCAAUUUUGCAUCUCCCAAGCUAAAGACUGCCCUUUUAAUUUUUUAAGUUUGAAGUUAGACCAAUGAGAUGUGUAGUGUGUGGGUGGGAAUGUGAAUGUCAAGACAUCACCCUGCAAUUCUCUUCCUCUUUUUUUCAGAUCUGAACACUGAAUUAUGCACAGCUUCUAAUCUUCAAAUGAUUCAGAUGUUCAAAUCCUUAUUAGUAUCACUAUCUCAGCCUGCUUUUAGAAAGAAGUAGAUUAGCAGAGCAGGUAUAUAGCAUUCUGCACAUCUCCACAAUGAUUCACGAGUCUGGUGUCUUUGUGUUUGCCAUUGUCGUGUCACCCAAGAGAAGAACUGAAGGGUUACAGAAAAUUGCAUUGGAGAGGAAACAGAUCGGUGGAAAACCCUCAAGAAUCAGAGUGAGAAAAGAGGAUAGUGGAUGGUACAGAGGAAGGAGAUUAUGGCUGGAACAGCUAUGUAAAGAUUAGGGGGGUCUGUGAGGGUGAAUUCUGCAGGCAUAGACCUGGCUUUAUUGUAGUGGCAUGGGAAAGUGGAUGUGAUUGCCCUUGUGACAGUCUUUAUUAUAGUUCCAAGUUCUGUGCUUGCAAAGAGCUUUCUGGGGGCUUUUAUUUUUUUCAGGAAAUAGCAGGAAAUAGCAACUCUCUGUUUCUUCUGAGCCCCUAGUGUCCCGGUACCCCGAAACACAGUCACUUGAUCCUCUCUGCUGCAGCACUAUCUUCUGAGAUCAGGGCUAUGGAGGCAUGUGCUUAUGAGUGGUGUCUGCAAAAUAUGAAUAUUUUCAGUCCCUUUGGCAGUAGCCACAUAAAUAAAAUUGAACUGCUUUUUCCCUCCUUUCCUUUCCACUUGAACUAACCUGAGAACUGAAGGAGCAGCCCGAAUGAGCAUGAGGGGAAUAAGUCACUGAGGGUCUACCUUUUUCAUCAGUGGAAAACAAUAAAAAAAGCUGAUUGACAUAUAUUUCUAGAUUACAAACAGUGAAGGCAUUGUGUAGCUCUUGUUUUGGCAUGCAGCUGGCUGGUCGGGACUGAUUUGACACCUUCAGUAGUACAGAGUGCACCAUGGAUGACUCCAACCUGUAAAAAGCCCACGUUGAAGAAGCUGUUCCCAGGUCACAAAGAAAGUGGUUUAUUGUCACAUUUCACAUUUCAGGUCACAGCAAAAGCCUUUCCCAGUUCAUUCAGGAACCAACUUCAUCCUGUCAGGUUGUGGUAAAUUAUCGACACUAGUUAGAAACUAUCACCUCCCAUUUCUGUUAUGAUCCACUAAUCUACAGUUAAGGCAGGAACACAGGAACUAGCAGUGGCUAAGGCUGUUCCUCCAGGAUGAGUAUCACUCAGCAUAUUGGUCAGCAAGAUGCUGACUGACUGACUCCUGGUGUUGCUUUGAAAAACACUGCUUUCUUGAAAAUGGCUGUAUUACCAUCAGUUCCUUGCUGCAACUCUUCUAUGACAGACUAAGCUACAGUGAGAUCCUCCUAGGUCCAGGAAAAGGAUGUGUAAGAUUUUAAGAGCAGACCUUAAAACCAGUUUAUCACUGUUGUUUUCUCUGGCCUGGAGGAAAAAUGAGGACAAAUAUUGAAUGCUCAUGAAAAUGCAAAGUUGGAAAACAAGAUUUAGACACAGGGAAAAGAGCGCAGAAAGUUCCCUAGUUAUUACAGAAAGACAUUGACAUGCUGCAUUUUUAUUAGUAAACACUGUGAAUGAAGAUUUAAAGAACUGUGUUCAGCAGGUCCUUAUAAUGAUGCCAUCAGCUGAUACUACUGGGCUUCUAAAAAUCCAUGAGAAAUACAAAACUAUGUAGCAACAUCUUUGGGGUAAGAACUGCCCAGUCCCUCUUUUGAGAUGAAGGCAAAAUGUAAGCAUGCCAAUCUGUUGUUGAUAUCGCUGUGUGUAUCUGCAUCAAAUAGUGUGAAUAAUUAUCAAUAAUAAUAAAACAAUUGUGCUGUAUCUGUUGUUAAAAAGUGGCAAAUAUUUUGUGACAAAGAUAAAUAAUUUUAAAUGAAAAGUAAGUUUCAGUGACAUAGUAAGCUUGAAAUGACAAAUGUUCCCAUAAAUUCUGUUUCCCCAUAACACUGAUUAAUUUCAUGUAAGUAAGUUGCACAUCCACAUUAAUUUAUGAUAUCGCCUGUAUGAGAACUGGAUGCUAAUGGAAGUUAAAGCUUCAGGAGAAUAUUAAGCUCGACAGCUUCUGCUUGUGAGUGCUUGAUAUCUUAUCUUCACUGUUGCCUGAAUGUUAACUUUUGCAUUUCAUUUCUCUCCUUUUGAGGACUUGUUUCAAUAGGAGAUUGGUCAAGGCAACCAGAGAGACCACACUAAUGGGCUUUUAUGGAUCCUGAAAAGUCCUCAGUUCACAGCCUGAGCCCUGGCUGUGGGAUUUCUGAAGUUUACUCUGAAUGUUUGAGAGCAGAUGUGUGUGGCUCAGGCCUGCCUAGUGAUAGAUAGGCACAUGGACACAAUCCUCUAAACACAGUCAUCUGGGAGUGUGUAUCUAUGUAUAGAUAGAUAUUUCUAGAUAGAUAUAUAGACAGAUAUAUAUCUGGCACAGAUAUAUAUGUCAAUAUACAUAUUUAUAAAUUCAAUGGAUUACAGUGACUGUACUACUAAGAUAAAUCGCAGAUCUAAAUGGGGAGCCAUCAUCGAAACAAGAGAAAUGUAGAGAUAAAUCAUCAUUCAUGUUACAGGAGUAUGCCAUCUCCUACUCUAUACUUAAAAAAAGAAAAACCCUUAAACUGUCUUUUUCUUGCAGAUCAAGAUAAGAUAAAAUGACGUCUGUUUUUGCCCAUUGCAACUCUUGCCCAAUCAGCAGCUACAGUUAUGGAGAAUGUAUAUAUUUACCAGUUCUUGGGCAUAAUCGGCAAAAUCCUUUUCACGUUCCUCAUUCUGUCAACAGCCCAAUGUCUUUGACUUUUUGCUUUGAACAAUCACUCCACGCAAGCCGAGCGUGAAGAACUCAGGCUAUGAUUUCACUCACCUUCAUUUUACAUUGUUUGCAGUGUACAAUGGAGAAUCAGACUGAAUGAUUCUACGCACUAAAUCGUUCAGGAUUUUACUCUAUGUCAUUCUGAUGGCCUAAAGAAAAUAUGUAUGUUUCUUGGAAGUAGCUUUACAUAAGAGUAAAUAAUAGUCCCGAAAGGAAGAUAUAUUUAUGACUAGAAAAAAAUAGUGGCUUGUGCAUGUGUGAUUCACUCUGUGUAUAUUUAUUCAUCUACCUGCUUGGACAAUAUGUGCAUAAAAAUGUAGAAUAAUUCAAAUAGAGCAGACUGUGCUUGGUCUUUUCUAAUGAUGCAGUAUAAAAGGAUGCACAUAAGAGAUUUUUUAUACUGAGUUUCCUUUCAUCUUAAGCUAGGAAGGAAUGAAAAACCUGCAAUGUUUUUUUAUAAACUGAGAAGAUUUUGUGUAUUUUUAGCCUGAUCUGGAGAGCAAUAAAAAAUGUAUUCCUGAUAUUCUUACAGCACGAAGCUUUUAUGACAACCUGAAUAAAACCUCCAAAACCUUCCUGCAGUAUCUAUUAGACGAAAAAGAAAAAAAACAAACUCAGGAGCUACCCUCUGACUUGGGCUGGAGCAUAGGAGGAUAUUAAUUAAAACCCCAAAUUGCCAUCCACAAAUUCUGGACAGCGAAUGACUGGAUAACACUGCAAACUAGUGGGCAUAUACCCUGGGUUUUGUGAGUGGAAAGGUCCUUGGGUGCCUACAGGGCAGCUGCUGGCUUUGCCCAAAGCCCUGGCAGGAGCAGCCUGGUGUCCCUGUUCCUCCCCACAUGCUCAGGACGUCUAGGAGGUGGGCUGAGGCUGGGGAGAUGCGUGCCCAGACGGCCCUCAGCUGGACCACCUCUUAGAGAACAUGUUUUCACGUUUUAAAUGAAGCUUUUGGGGACUGAAGAAAAGGAGCUGAGGAGAGUGGUGAGGUUUCAACUGUAUCAGAGCAGGAGAAACCAACAUCCCAGCUCUCUGCUUCCUAGGCAGGAGCUCCAGUCACUAGCCUGUGAGAUAAAAGAUCUCCAUCUCACACUCCAGCAGAGACACAGACAAAAGGAGUGGUUUUUUUUCUUUUUUUUUUUUUCCUGUUCUUUAAAAGAGAGCUGUGGGAGAAAAGAUGUGGGCUCUGGAUCCCAGGGGGAUGGAGGUGCUUGCUGGUAGCUAUGAAGUAGGAAUAAAAGUUCUGAAAAGGAAGUGAGUUGAGACACUUUUCUAUGUAAUUUCUAAUUCUAAAUUCUAAUUUCUAUAUUUAUGUCACUCCCUAAUUGGAGCUGGGAUUCAUCUUACUGAAUGUCAGCUGCUUAGGAGGGGUAAAUGCCUAACCGUGGGUUUUCUAUUUCACUCUGGGGGCCAGACAUGUAAAAUAUCAGUAUUGCAGUACUGAUUUAAUGUGUCUUGGCACUUUAUGAGUUACAUCCUCUAGAUAUUUACUUAAGGUUCUCUUCAAAUAUUUAUCUAAAUACAAACAUAAAUGAACUGACUUCAGGUUUUUUUUUUUUCCCAUUUCUUUGUUUACCUAUACAUGAGUAAGAAUUCUCACAUACCAGAUGUUUCACCUGGAUGGUUUAUGACCCAGCCUUAAAAAAAAAGAUUGUGAACUUAAGAAAUCUUUGUAACUGUGGUGUAAUUCUUAGAGAACUGUAACCAAUUAUAAGGACCCAGUAGAUUUCAUAUUUCAGUACUUUCAAUAAAUUGCUCGAAGAUAGCCUAAUUCUGGCACCUUUGCUGAUGCCUCUUUGCGAGCUAGCUGGUGAAAUCUCUGCUGUUAUCAGUUUGCCUUUCUUUGUGUUAUCAAUGGGAACCUUUGGAAAUGAUGUGAAAAACAAGGGGCAGAAUCAGGUCCCACCGAACAACAGAAGAAAAGCUCGCCCUCAAAACACUGUGCAGAGGCCUUUAUCUGAGAAAGGCGUUUGCUCUUUGCAGGCAGAAAGUUGGAAUUUAUAAAGUAAACUGUUCAUUAUCCCAGUUCCCGCCAAGCAGGUGUGUGACAGAUACACCAAAGGUGUGAGCACAUGGGGAGCACAAUGCCAAAACCACCAGAUAAUAAAAGAUACUUUUACUGUUACAAGAAUAAUAUGGUCAUUAUGAGCACUUCAAAACAUUAAUCUUACUAGCAAAGCACUAAAGCUGAAAUCCAUCUUUAUUUCCUUUCCUAAGGCACUAAAAGAAAUGAACUCGGAGAUCUACGGGCCGCACAGACGCGUCACAUUUUCAUUUCCCCCGUCUCCUUUAGCGAUAACAAUGGAUCCCUGAAGGCUGUUCCCCUUGUCUAGUUAAGGCUAAUGACUUGUGCUUGAUGACAUUAAAACCUGCUUCUGCCACUGUUUCUUCUGCUUUGAUGGGAGACUGACAGCAGACUGGAGCGUGUGGGAGAAAGAAAAUUCCCCUGCAGCCUGCCUCGCCUGUGACUCUGAAAGCUGAAUUCCUGCAGCCAAAUACUAGGGAGCAAAACUCAAGCUGUGCCUCUGCAGCUGGCUCUGCUGCCUGGCCGCGGGGGCCCCUUUCUGCUCCACAUUCAAUGGGGCAGCAGGACCAACCCUGCGGGAACAGCUGCAGGCAGGAGGUACAAGGCAUUCGUGUUUCAAAAAGCAGCUGGGAGAAUAGCAGGGCACCAGGAGCCCAGUCCAUACCAUAGAAGAUGCAAGGCAGAGUGGUCAUUUACCUUUGUGCUGGUUUCAGUCUCUUUCAGGCAAAGUGAGAAAAGAAUGUUUUUUUUUUUCCCCAGUCACAUGACAUUAAAACUUAAUAGUAGGGGAGCUGACUAAGGUCUGCUUAACCUUCAUAGAAUUCUUCUAAGAUUUAUUAAAAGUUUGUUCUCUGAUCUCUCUUUUUUUUUUUUCCUAGAGUGGGGUUAAAAAAAAGAGCAAUCAUUCACACAUAUCUUUGUUGGAUAUAAUUUCCUUACAUCUAGAUCCUUAAAGAUUAGCAUGUCACAGGCAUCUCUGUUACUUAGCAACUAGGAUAAAGCCAAGAAAAAGGCCUAAAUAUCAAUUCCUUGCAAGCAGUAUAAACACUAAUACAGUAAGCUUUAAACUCUGAAGGAGUCUUCCCUUUAUUACUAAUGAAACCACCGUGCCUCUUCCGAACAUAAUAAAGAAAUUGUCAUCUUAAUGAACUCAGCUGCUAUUGAUCCACAUCUACUUUUGAAGCAGUCCUUGUGCUCUUCAAAUGUUUUGUCUUCACAGCUUUACGCAGUAAAUCUUUCAUAUUAGUCCCUGAACAUCAAAAUUACUUCAGUGACAUCUGGCCUGAUGAAAGUAAACAAGAUAAUUCCUUAUCUAGGGAGGCCUGAAAGAAAACCUCAGCUUUGAACAAGCCCAGAUAUUGUGGCAAGUUGCAAACCUGAUGUGAUCCUAAUAUUUUUGCCUCAGACCUUCCCCCUUUGUGAAGGGCAGCGCUGUUCUGAGAAAGUACAGAAUAAAAGUGGUACCACAGGUCUUUCUCUCUGUACUCAUUCAUACAGCUAUUCACUGAAGCUAACAAACAAAGUUUGUAUUCUAGCUGCUCCAAGAGUCAUUACAUACAGGAAAGGACUGCUCAUUAAAAUGGUGAUAGGAGCCAAGUCUCCAUUGGGACUCCAGAAGGAAUGCAAUCCCUUGUGGCUUGCGAAAGCACCAGCAGGACUUGCAGCAGGAUUCACAGUACUUCCAGGGGGAUGAAAACGGCUCUAAGUUCCCGUUCCCAUAGGCCAAACACGACCUUCUGAUUCAGUUAGCUACAAGCAGAGCUGAUAUUUUCAAGAACAACCCAAAUUUAUAAAAGGACUUCAGCUCGAGUGGUCACAUCGGUAACAUGCUAGCACCUCUGAUCAAACAGUGUUCCUCUCUAGGAAGACCUCAGAAGUGUAAGAUGAGGAAUCUGCUCUCCCAGAUCCCUGCCUCAGUUGUGGAGAAAUUGAAGUGUGCAGUGAACGAAGCCAAGAACAUCAGAAACAGCAAGGAUGACCUCAUGGUUGAGGUGCCUACAACGUGGCCAUGGUUGAGACAGUAGAGCGACUAAUCUUCCCACACGACCUCAACUCUAUCUCAUAAUCAAGUUCCUCUGUCUGAAGAAUCCCACAUCAUGGAAAUCUCAUCCACAUCUGUGGCAUUUUCUUGGAGACAACAGAAACAGAAACAACAGAUGACGAACUGGAUAGAGCCUGACCUAACUGCACAACCAGUUGUCCUGUAAGCAUGGAGGUCAGCGGUGUUCCAUCUCCAGCAAUACCCGAUCUAUAUCAGGGUCAUAUCUCAGGAUUUUCACAAAAAGCAGUCAAGCCAACAUAUGCCACAUUGGAUGACAGUGUGCUUUGAACAUGCAAGGAGAAGCAUUCACCUUGGAAAAGAGACAUAGGCAGGCAAAUGGUUCAUUUCCAUUCUCCUUAGUACCCAAAAAAGUAACACCAGGCGACCUGCUUUCCACAUGGAGGACACCCAUUCUUACAUUGAUUUCCACAACGAUCUUUUUUUAUCCUUAAUAUAAGGUGGUGGAGGAGACAGGAUAAGAAAGAUCCUGGUCUUUGCAAAAGAUGCAGAACUCUGUACUUCAUCACAUCUAGCCUGGCUGGUGUAUGUUACUGACCAGUUAAAUAGAGCUCAGGUAUAUAUGAAACAAUUUCAUUUGAACUCUGUGGGAAUAUCAGAUAGAAAAAUGUGAAGGCUUUUGCCAUAUUGCUUAACAGAGAGAGAGUGCUGGUUCAUCAUUUGCUUGUCUUACUCUUUCAUCACCUACUUUAGGAUGUCCAGAUAGCAGGCAUGGCCAAGAGUUUUGUUUUUUUGUUUUUGAGCUGAUUUGAAGACUGAAGUUCUUUUAAAUAGAGAUUAUUUGAAUGCCACCACUGUCAUGUUAUGUGUAAAGUAAUGUACAUAGCCCUCCAUAAAAUUUUGGGAGAAUCUACAUGAUAAUAUCUAAGAGCAAACACUGGAACUGACUUUGCGUGGACUCCAGAAGUAGAACGUGAAGUAAAGCAGAGCUUGCUUAUCCAAGCCAUCUUGAAUCCACAGGUUGUCUCACCACAUGGAAGUGGCUACAUCAGCAUAUACAGUGCCAUGCUGUAUUGUGUACACUUACUGACUUGCACAGAACUACCUCAGGGACAUCUGUCUUGCAUGAAGUUCAUAGUCCAAGUAUGAUGAGGAAGUCUCCAUGCAGUUCCCAGGUGUAUCAGGGCAAAUGAAGCCAAUAUGUUAAAAAGGUUCAGAGUUAGUGUGGGAAGUUAGUUUUGGCCAUUGAGAAACCAUAUAAGCAUGAACAUUGGCAGCAGUAAUAUGCUUUCCAAGAACAGUAUCUCUGGGCGUACCUUCCUAUAAUCAGAAUGUUAUAAAAAAGCUGCAUUUGGGACAGCCAAAUAAAUAAAGGUAGAUAAAUGAAAGCCAUGUAAAUAAAUGAAGAAUAAGGAAUACCAAGUCUGAUUCUUCUCUACCUGCUUUUAUGGUAGUCAUUCAUUCUUUUUUAUAGUAUAUGUAUAACCCUACUAAAUCUGAAUUCUUUCUACAGCAGGCAAUUGCAUUUGGCAGCCAUUUAACAUAAGCACAGCUGAAAAUGCUCAUUUUUACCUGCAUAUAGGCAAAUCUGUUUAGAUCUACUGAGUUAGUUCUUAUUUCUGAUGUGCCAUAUCAGGGUAUGCUGUACAGUAGCAUUACAUAAGACCAAAUCUGAAGUGAGUUAACAGCAUGUGACACUUUGGUUGACUUAACAUAACCUGAAAAAAAUGCCCUAAAUUCUUGGGAUUACUAAGUAAUUGUGGAACUUGCAAGAAGGUGGAACAGUUCACAUUUUUGAUAGCAGGGUUCUUUGGUAGUGAUACAUUCCUUAGUCAGUAGCAUCAAACAAAGCCAAAAUUCUAUUACAUACUUGCAGGGGAUUUAACUGGGACUCUGCUGUGUCCCAUCUUGGCAUAUUUGUACUCUCAGUAGACAACACGUAACCUUUAUUAAAAGGAGACCAAAUCCAAAAUUUUGCCUUCUUUUGCUGGAUUUGUGCCAACAAAAUGUACUGAAUUUAAUGUGGGCACUUCUCUCUAGAUGCUGUCAUUUCUCCUUUGCAGAACACAGAACUGGACAGGACCUCACAGCUCAUCACUUCCAGUAUUGUUCCAAUUGCCUCAGCUAUCCGCUAGCCUCAUACACUGUGAGGCUUUAGCCUGCAUUGUUCUGGGAGGCAAAUUUUGUCCCGUGCUGUAGAAAAGCGCACAGAAUUUGACUCUUGGAGUUGGUUGCCUUUCUCUCCAUGGACUUGUAAUGGCAUAGGAGAUACAUACUUUGCCAGCAGCUACUGUGGACAGGAAUGCUGAGUGUGAAAAACUCUUGUUUCUUUUAUACCUUAAUGAGGAGGCAUCCUGGUGUGUGUUUUUGCUCUGCCAAAAAUGGAGAUCACUGGCAGCAGCAGCUAUGCUCAGCUCCUCCUUCCUCUUUGGGAACAGUCAUUACAAAAAUGUUCUUUUUCAUCUUUAUUGCCUUGGGAGAGUACACUAUCCCUCUGGGGAAGAUGGUGUACACACAGCUUGGGUAUGCAAACCAGGAGUUUGUUCACAGAAGAAAGAAUUUUUGCAAAAUUUUUUCUGAAUCUACUAAGCAGAUCAAAUGAUAAUAUCUAAGCUGGAUUUUGUUAGUCUCAUACAGCCACAUUUGGGGAGAGAAGGUGCUGUUACAAGAAUGGAUCUGCCACAGUGAUGAAUCCACAUCAGGCACAUCAUUUCAAAUCUGUUUUGCAAACUUCUGGGAACAUAGACUUACUGUUGUGGAGUAGGUAGGGAGAAAGAGUAGAGUUGGGAAAAUGCACUGAGUGCCUCAAAGGUAAGCGUUUCAGUUUCAGGCAUUUACAAAUGUACAUAUGACCAGGAGGGACACUUCCCCUCAGUUUGCUGUGUCCAGCUGCUAGCCAUAGGAAAGAUCCACGCACUGGAAGAUUUGUUCAGCAGCGUCCCAGAACACCUCCAUACACCACUUCAGACUUCUUAACACUCUAAAACAUUUUAUGAAGUGAAAAAACUGCAAAGUCAUAACAAUAAUGUACCAAAGGAAGAAAACUCAAGAGAUUAAGGGUAUUACCAGUGCUCUGCAUUCCUGCAAUAACAGCAAAUAUGUUAAAUAACGCUAUUAGAUGAUUUAUGAGGCCGACAUGCUACAAAGGAGAGCAAGGUUCCUGCUUGACCUGGAAAAAAUUACCUUCUGACUCCAAAUACAGUGACUCAUUUAACCCUGAAAACAAUAUUCCUAUGAGCAGUAAGAGAAUUUAAUGCCACCAUGUGUCUCAGCACUCCUUACCUAAAUCCUAUCUCCAGCUGUGGCAAAUCUACAAGGCCUCAGAGGAAGGCUGUCUUCUCCUCCACCCUGAAAAAGCCAGGAGACAAAGUUGGCACCAAGGAUGGGCAGGACUGGAAGUCUUUUUCUGUCCCUUCUAAACUACCAGAGGAACCAUGAAGCUUGAGAUUAAAUACAACAGAAAUCUGGUGCAAACAAAUAACACAAACAUCCUUGGAAACAGCAGCACACUGGAUACCUACAGACUCAGAUCACGAGCAUUACAUUUGCAGAGGUCAUGAGACUCUGUUAUUUCUUUAUGUGUUUUCUAGUAUGUCUGCUCUCUUAACUUUAAAAAUACUUAAUGAUAUUCCAGAGCCUGACAGUGCCUUCACAGAAAUUUAACAAAGGAAAGGGCAAGCUAUCUCAGCCUCAGAGUCUGCCACGAUUGCACUGUCCCAUGAUCAUCUGGCUGUCUAUAAGCAUCUUAUAUUUCUUUUCAUUGAUCAUCAUGGUCUUUUCUUUGAUUUGAUUUUAGGCUUCCCCUUUCCCUCUGCAUUUUAUUUGACUUCAGAUGUAGUUUUUCAAAUUCGUUUUUGCUGUAAGCUUGUCAUUCUCUUCCUCUCUGAAAGUGGGUAUGGCUUUGCAUUCUGUUUCUCUCUGGUUUUACACGGGGACCUCUUGUGAGGGAACAGAUCACAAAUGCAAGUCUGUAGACCAUAGUUACUGCUCCAACUAUCAUCUUCUGUGAUAUCGUAAUGGUUGUGAAUAGCAAUGUUAAAGCUUCUGUUAUAGCUCAGCUGAAAGUGCUAAAUAAGGGACUAAACUUUCCAGCCACUCAGAAGGUUAAAUCAGUGCAGUGAAUGCAGAUGCCAAUGUUUUGAGCAGGGCAGGUAAGUAAGAGUCUUUAACAUAGGUGCACUACACUGACUAGCUCACUUUUAGGUUAAAUUCCACACACCUUCAAGUCAUAAAUCUCCUAGGUCUCAUCAGCAGUGGCUUGUGUUUCAUCCCCACCAUUUCAUUCACUGACAUCAGUUUGUCUAUUUUCCUAAAAGUAAAGGUCAGGGGAGCCAGGGACAGGCCAUGCCUUAGCAGUGAAUCUUCGGUGUUGGAAAAGCAACUAAGCUUGCCCACAUUUAUAACUUGUAAGGGGCACUCUUUUUGUGGGUUUCCCUGUAAUUGCAAGCUCUGGAAAUCUUUGCAAUUGGCCUCAAAGGGUAAAUUUAUUGGCUUUUUUUGUUUGUUUUUAUUUUUUUUUAAGUCUUGUAACGUUAAUGACAAGAAUACUGCUACAAUCAGAAUGUAUGAGUUUGCAGGUUUCUACCACGAUGACAAAAGAUUCCCAUAACCGAAACUGACUUCCAAACUGCUUAUGUCUACCAGUGAAUGUCUUAGAAGUAUCCCAUGCAAUCUCUCCACAGUUAUAUAAGUUCAUGGCAGUCAAUGGCUUCCUGUUUUGUGGGAGUUGCUUCCAGACUCUGCAGGAACAAAAAAACCACAGUCUGAAAGUACUAAUAUUUUAAAUGAAUUUAGGUGAUACUUUUACUACCAUAAAAUUCUCGGAGGAAAUUAAAUUCCACAAAACUAUGUUAAAAUAGCAUUCGGGACCAGCUUUAAACCCACAGAAGCUAGUAGAUUCUGGGAUAAGUCUAAAAAUCUAGGCUAACAAUACCUUGUUAGAGUACAACACCUUUGUGUUGUGAUAUUGCUCAAUAGUAGGAUAUACUACCUUAAUAAUUCUAUAGGAAUUCAUCCAGUCUCUCAAUACCUACAUCCUGAUUGUAGGACAAUACAUAUGCUGGUUAUUAUUCUUAACAUUAAAAAUCAUGGGCCACCACUGUUUACCAUCCUUUUCCUGUAUGAGAUGUAUGAUUCUGGAGCAAGGCUAAGCUAAAAAUGUGUACUAUAUAAACUUUUGUUCUAAAGAUCCAGACUAUGUACCUCUUGAGUUGUGGGAAACAAGAUACUAAAUAAAUAAAGCGUCUUUUUUCAUUGUUAA